GUAGGGGGCAAGCGUUAUCCGGAUUUACUGGGUGUAAAGGGAGCGUAGACGGCAUUGCAAGUCUGAUGUGAAAGCCCGCGGCUCAACCCCGGGUCUGCAUUGGAAACUGUCGAGCUAGAGUGUCGGAGGGGUAAGCGGAAUUCCUAGUGUAGCGGUGAAAUGCGUAGAUAUUAGGAGGAACACCAGUGGCGAAGGCGGCUUACUGGACGAUGACUGACGCUGAGGCUCGAAAGCGUGGGGAGCAA
rnacentral:rRNA from 1 species